UGCGCAGGCGGGGAAAUAAGUCAGUGGUGAAAAGCUGCCGCUUAACGGUAGUCUUGCCAAUGAUACUGUUUUUCUUGAGUAUGGUUAAGGUAGGCGGAAUGUGCAGUGCAGCGGUGAAAUGCAUAGAGAUUGCACAGAAGGCCGAUUGCGGAGGCAGCUUACUGAGCCAUAACUGACGCUGAGGCACGAAAGCGUGGGGAUCGAACAGGAUUAGAUACCCUGGUAGUCC
rnacentral:rRNA from 1 species